UUAGGCGUUAGUCAAUUGUUAUAUUGCAAAUAAACAUGACGUCCAACUUACAACAUAUUAAGAUUUUGUAACUAAAAUACAGUACAUAUUUACAUUUUUCCAUUUUUUUCCAAAUCAAUUAUUUUUGUGUUUCAAUUCCUUUUUGCCCAAAAAAACAUUUUGUACCACUAUAUUUUACAUAUGCGCCACAAUACCCUAGCAAAUAUGGUGUAGUGGGCUAUCGGCAACUCUGGCGUCGCAUGCACCCAAUGCUUUACUACUCUGGUUUGGACUUUCUGGGCCCGAAUAGGCUUAUAUACGAUUAAUCCUGGGAUUGUAGCUGCGGGCGCACGCACUUGGUCCAAAUGAUUCACCACUGCCACAAUGAAUAUGGACUAACUCCAGUUGUAAAUAGAUGUGACAAUAAACUUAUUUAUUUUGCUUCCAUCGAUUCGUGUAGUAGUGAUACAGAGACUAUUUAUUAUAUUAAUUAUUUGUUUGCCAGACAACAACCAAAAGCAACCCAAACGUUGCCUACUAAUCUCAAACGUACCCCACUUAAUCCCAAAGAUUCCUGGCUACAGCUCAACGAAGUAGCCGAACUUUUCAACUUGGAGUUAGAGCCGGAACCGCAUUAACAGAACAAAUCCUUACAACAAUAUCAGCAGUUGCAGCAGUCAUCUAUUGUAUCAGGGGAUUAAUUUUCAUCCAGUUAAACACCACUUGAGGAGAUCCCUUCUAUGUAUGUAAUAUUUUAGUGUCCACAAACAAAUUCUCGGGACUAGAGGAUGAUGACGACGAAUAACAAAUGAUAUUAAAACUAAUAAUUCAAUUUUAUUUAAAUAUGUAUCUAUGUGUGUAAUUACCUCAAUAUAAAUUAUUACGUUGGUUCUAUACAAUAAAUUACACAGUGGCAAAACCUCUUUGUAAUAAUGCCGUUGUACUACCUACUACCAA